AACUUUCAACAAUGGAUCUCUUGGUUCUGGCAUCGAUGAAGAACGCAGCGAAAUGCGAUAAGUAGUGUGAAUUGCAGACUUUAGUGAAUCAUCGAAUUUUUGAACGCACAUUGCGCCCCUUGGUAUUCCAUUGGGCAUGCCUGUUCGAGCGUCAUU
rnacentral:rRNA from 1 species